AUACCUUUCUCGGCCUUUUGGCUAAGAUCAAGUGUAGUAUCUGUUCUUAUCAGUUUAAUAUCUGAUAUGUGGGCCAUGUGCUCACUUUGAUAUUAAAUUUAUUUUUCGUGGGGAGAGGGUUCACCAUAGUGGCUUGCAACUAGGGCCCUCAUGUGUCGACUAGGCGUUGCACUAAAGCUCAUGCUAGGCACACCCCAA
rfam:Oryza rufipogon genomic scaffold, chr08